AUGAACGCUAGCUACAGGCUUAACACAUGCAAGUCGAGGGGCAGCAUGAACUUAGCUUGCUAAGUUUGAUGGCGACCGGCGCACGGGUGAGUAACACGUAUCCAACCUUCCGUUUACUCAGGGAUAGCCUUUCGAAAGAAAGAUUAAUACCUGAUAGUAUGGUGAGAUUGCAUGAUAGCACCAUUAAAGAUUUAUUGGUAAACGAUGGGGAUGCGUUCCAUUAGGUAGUAGGCGGGGUAACGGCCCACCUAGCCGACGAUGGAUAGGGGUUCUGAGAGGAAGGUCCCCCACAUUGGAACUGAGACACGGUCCAAACUCCUACGGGAGGCAGCAGUGAGGAAUAUUGGUCAAUGGGCGAGAGCCUGAACCAGCCAAGUAGCGUGAAGGAUGAAGGUCCUACGGAUUGUAAACUUCUUUUAUACGGGAAUAAAGUAUCCUACGUGUAGGAUUUUGUAUGUACCGUAUGAAUAAGCAUCGGCUAACUCCGUGCCAGCAGCCGCGGUAAUACGGAGGAUGCGAGCGUUAUCCGGAUUUAUUGGGUUUAAAGGGAGCGCAGACGGGAGAUUAAGUCAGUUGUGAAAGUUUGCGGCUCAACCGUAAAAUUGCAGUUGAUACUGGUUUCCUUGAGUGCAGUUGAGGCAGGCGGAAUUCGUGGUGUAGCGGUGAAAUGCUUAGAUAUCACGAAGAACCCCGAUUGCGAAGGCAGCUUGCUAAACUGUAACUGACGUUCAUGCUCGAAAGUGUGGGUAUCAAACAGGAUUAGAUACCCUGGUAGUCCACGCCGUAAACGAUGAGUGCUAAGUGUUGGAGGGUUUCCGCCCUUCAGUGCUGCAGCAAACGCAUUAAGCACUCCGCCUGGGGAGUACGACCGCAAGGUUGAAACUCAAAGGAAUUGACGGGGGCCCGCACAAGCGGUGGAGCAUGUGGUUUAAUUCGAAGCAACGCGAAGAACCUUACCAAAUCUUGACAUCCUCUGACCCCUCUAGAGAUAGAGUUUUCCCCUUCGGGGGACAGAGUGGCAGGUGGUGCAUGGUUGUCGUCAGCUCGUGUCGUGAGAUGUUGGGUUAAGUCCCGCAACGAGCGCAACCCUCGUGGUCAGUUACUAACAGGUUAAGCUGAGGACUCUGGCCAGACUGCCAUCGUAAGAUGUGAGGAAGGUGGGGAUGACGUCAAAUCAGCACGGCCCUUACGUCCGGGGCUACACACGUGUUACAAUGGGAGGUACAGGAGGCCGCUACCCGGCGACGGGAUGCCAAUCCCCAAAACCUCUCUCAGUUCGGACUGGAGUCUGCAACCCGACUCCACGAAGCUGGAUUCGCUAGUAAUCGCGCAUCAGCCACGGCGCGGUGAAUACGUUCCCGGGCCUUGUACACACCGCCCGUCAAGCCAUGAAAGCCGGGGGUACCUGAAGUGCGUAACCGCAAGGAGCGCCCUAGGGUAAAACCGGUAAUUGGGGCU
rnacentral:rRNA from 1 species